AACGAACGCUGGCGGCAGGCCUAACACAUGCAAGUCGAACGCCGUAGCAAUACGGAGUGGCAGACGGGUGAGUAACACGUGGGAACGUACCCUUCGGUUCGGAAUAACUCAGGGAAACUUGAGCUAAUACCGGAUACGUCCGAGAGGAGAAAGAUUAUCGCCGAGGAUCGGCCCGCGUCUGAUUAGCUAGUUGGUAAGGGUAAAGCCUACCAAGGCAUCGAUCAGUAGCUGGUCUGAGAGGACGACCAGCCACACUGGACUGAGACACGGCCCAGACUCCUACGGGAGGCAGCAGUGGGGAAGUUUUGGACAAUGGGCGCAAGCCUGAUCCAGCAAUGCCGCGUGAGUGAAGAAGGCC
rnacentral:rRNA from 1 species